rnacentral:rRNA from 1 species
AGUGAACGCUGGCGGCAGGCCUAACACAUGCAAGUCGAACGGCAGCACAAGAGAGCUUGCUCUCUGGGUGGCGAGUGGCGGACGGGUGAGGAAUACAUCGGAAUCUGCCCAUUUGUGGGGGAUAACCUCGGGAAACCGGGACUAAUACCGCAUACGACCUACGGGUGAAAGCAGGGGAUCUUCGGACCUUGCGCAGAUGGAUGAGCCGAUGCCGGAUUAGCUAGUUGGAGGGGUAAAGGCCCACCAAGGCGACGAUCCGUAGCUGGUCUGAGAGGAUGAUCAGCCACACUGGGACUGAGACACGGCCCAGACUCCUACGGGAGGCAGCAGUGGGGAAUAUUGGACAAUGGGCGCAAGCCUGAUCCAGCCAUGCCGCGUGUGUGAAGAAGGCCUUCGGGUUGUAAAGCACUUUUGUUGGGAAAGAAAAGCAGCCGGUUAAUACCCGGUUGUCAUGACGGUACCCAAAGAAUAAGCACCGGCUAACUUCGUG